rnacentral:rRNA from 1 species
AGUCAACAUGCCCAGGGGACGCGGAUAACCUCGGGAAACUGAGGAUAAACCGCGAUAGGCCAUGAUUUCUGGAAUGGUUCAUGGCCGAAAUCUAUAUGGCCCCUGGAUUGGACUGCGGCCGAUCAGGCUGUUGGUGAGGUAAUGGCCCACCAAACCUGUAACCGGUACGGGCUCUGAGAGGAGGAGCCCGGAGAUGGGCACUGAGACAAGGGCCCAGGCCCUAUGGGGCGCAGCAGGCGCGAAAUCUCUGCAAUAGGCGAAAGCUUGACAGGGUUACUCUGAGUGAUUCCCGCUAAGGGGAUCUUUUGGCACCUUUAAAAAUGGUGCAGAAUAAGGGGUGGGCAAGUCUGGUGUCAGCCGCCGCGGUAAUACCAGCACCCCGAGUGGUCGGGACGAUUAUUGGGCCUAAAGCAUCCGUAGCCGGUACUGCAAGUCUUCCGUUAAAUCCACCUGCUUAACAAUUGGGCUGCGGGGGAUACUACAGCGCUUGGAGGCGGG